rnacentral:misc_RNA from 1 species
ACACCUCAACUCUCAUGGCUUGCCGUGAAGAGCUUGGACUUUGGGGGUCUUGCUGGCCUACGGUCGGCUCCUCUCAAAUGAAUCAGCUUACCAGUGUUUGGUGGCAUCACAGGUGUGAUAAAACUAUCUACGCUUGUGGUUUUCCACCAAGUUAACCCCCAGCGAUGGAGGUUAGCUGCUCUGGGGCUCAUAAAUGUCUCUCCUCGGUGAGGACAGCUCUUUGAAC